rnacentral:rRNA from 1 species
UCAAGUAGAAAAGGGCGCAUGGUGAAUGCCUAGGCACUAGAAGCCGAUGAAGGACGUGACGAACCACGAAAGGCUUCGGGGAGCAGUAAGUAAGCGAUGAUCCGGAGAUAUCCGAAUGGGGGAACCCAAUACCGCGAGGUAUUAUCAAGAGCUGUUAAGGCUGUUGAAGGAAGACGCAGUGAACUGAAACAUCUAAGUAGCUGCAGGAAGAGAAAGAAAAAUCGAUUUCCCAAGUAGCGGCGAGCGAACAGGAAAGAGCCCAAACCAGCUGGCUUGCCAGUUGGGGUAGUAGGACUGCAAUAAAGUACUUGAAGCGAUAGCAGAAUUAUCUGGAAAGAUAAGCCAGAGAGGGUGAGAGCCCCGUAAGCGAAAUUGCAGAGAGACUUAGCAGGAUCCUGAGUAGGUCGGGACACGAGGAAUCCCGAUUGAAACCGCGAGGACCAUCUCGCAAGGCUAAAUACUAACUAGUGACCGAUAGUGAACCAGUACCGUGAGGGAAAGGUGAAAAGAACCCCGGAAGGGGAGUGAAAGAGAACCUGAAACCGUGUGUCUACAAGUAGUCAAAGCACAUUAAAGUGUAAUGGCGUGCCUUUUGUAGAAUGAACCGGCGAGUUACGUUAUGGUGCAAGGUUAAGUCAGAAAAGACGGAGCCGGAGCGAAAGCGAGUCUGAAGAGGGCGAGAGAGUAUCAUGACGUAGACCCGAAACCAAGUGACCUACCCAUGACCAGGUUGAAGGCGUGGUAAAACACGCUGGAGGACCGAACCCACGUGAGUUAAAAAUCGCGGGGAUGAGUUGUGGGUAGCGGUGAAAUUCCAAACGAACUUGGAGAUAGCUGGUUCUCUCCGAAAUAGCUUUAGGGCUAGCCUCGUGUGAAUGAUAAUGGAGGUAGAGCGCUGUUUGGACUAGGGGCCCGUCAGGGGUUACUGAAUCCAGAUAAACUCCGAAUGCCAGAUAUCAAUGCACGGGAGUCAGACUGCGAGUGAUAAGAUCCGUAGUCGAAAGGGAAACAGCCCAGAUCACCAGUUAAGGUCCCCAAAUCUAUGCUAAGUGGAAAAGGAUGUGGAGUUGCGUAGACAACUAGGAUGUUGGCUUAGAAGCAGCCACCAUUUAAAGAGUGCGUAAUAGCUCACUAGUCGAGUGACGCUGCGCCGAAAAUGUACCGGGGCUAAGCAUAGUACCGAAACUGUGGAUGCAUAUCAAAGGAUAUGCGUGGUAGGAGAGCGUUCUAAGUGCGGAGAAGUUAGAUCGAGAGGACUAAUGGAGCGCUUAGAAGUGAGAAUGCCGGUAUGAGUAGCGAAAGAUAGGUGAGAAUCCUAUCCGCCGAAAGACUAAGGUUUCCUGGGGCAGGCUCGUCCGCCCAGGGUAAGUCGGGACCUAAGGUAAGGCCGAGAGGCGUAGCCGAUGGACAACAGGUAGAGAUUCCUGUACUGAAAUUGUUUGAUAAGAGCAAAGGAGGGACGCAGGAGGCUAAUGACGCAUGUAGCUGGAAAAACAUGUGCAAGCAGUAAGAAAAAAGAUGAGUCAAAUGCUUAUUUUUAGAUUUCAAGCUGUGACGCGGAGUGAAAUCAAAGUAGCGAAGGUCAUGAUGUCACACUGCCAAGAAAAGCUUCUAGCCAGAGCAAUUUUACCCGUACCGCAAACCGACACAGGUAGUCGAGUGGAGAACACUCAGGUGAGCGAGAGAACUCUCGUUAAGGAACUCGGCAAAAUGACCCCGUAACUUCGGGAGAAGGGGUGCUGAUGGUAAAAGAUCAGCCGCAGUGAAUAGGCCCAAGCAACUGUUUAUCAAAAACACAGGUAUCUGCAAAAUCGUAAGAUGACGUAUAGGUGCUGACACCUGCCCGGUGCUGGAAGGUUAAGAGGAGAGCUUAGCGUAAGCGAAGGUUUGAAUUGAAGCCCCAGUAAACGGCGGCCGUAACUAUAACGGUCCUAAGGUAGCGAAAUUCCUUGUCGGGUAAGUUC